UGCAAAUCUUUGGUGACAGCUCUGCUCUCAAGGCUUAGGAGGAACACAGAGAAUCCGCAUCCAGGCCCAGAGGUGUCUGCUGGGCCCCCUUCUCACCCCACACCCUCAUUCCUGGGGGAUUAGGCACAGUUUGCAGGGUUGGGGAGGGGGAGAUCCUGUGUCACAAAAUUGCCCAAACAUGCAUGAAGAAGGUUGGGGGGUGGGAGAGAGAGAGAGGGAGAGAGAGAGAGAGAGAGAGAGAGAGAGAGAGAGAGAGAGAGAAGGGGGUUAUUCUUGGAGCUGGCAGAGGUUUUUUGGGGGGGAGACAGGUGACACCUCCUUGCCCCUCACAAAACACCAGGACUGGAAAGUCUAGAUUCUCUGGAGAGAGAAAAAAGAGGAUGCCCCCCACAUCCCCCCAUUUGCCAUUUUCUCUGAUUAGCCACUAGUUGGGGGGGGAGGCUACUUCAAGGCCUGGCGAAGGACCAUUCAGCCACGGUUGCCCCCUGCCCCCCCCAUCUUGGAGCAAAGCCCAAAAGAGCAGCAAGACUUGAUCCUGCUUUGAAUAGGGCCCUCACCCCCCCCCCAAUUUGCCUUCUUUCCCUUUUAACUCUAACAUAAGCAGUUAAUCGUCUUACCUCGUCCCAAAUCCAGAGCCAAAGUAAACUUUGCACAACAGAAUAAAAUUCUCUCCCUCUCUCCUAUUUCCCCGUGAAUGUCAGAUAUCACAGGCAAAUGGCAAGCCAUCUUGGCGGAGAGGAGGCUGCGCUGCUCACCCUUCGGCCGGCAUCUCCUGGCACCCGCUGGGCACCAAGUCAUUUGGGCUUCGAAACAAAGACGGGAAGCCGCGGAUCAAUUGCCUCAGUUGUCCAUCUGUCCUUCCUUCCUUGCAAAAUUGACAAGGACAAAGGACUUUGCUGGCUGGUGCAGUCAAUUCCACUGCUCUCUUGAGUCUUCCAGGAGCUUGCGGGGGGGGGGAUUCCACUGAUAGGAAUCAGAAAAACAGGGUCCUAUAAGAAAGCUUCCUCUUCCUCCUGAUAGGAAGCUCUCCUAGAAUCCUAGGCUUGGAAGGGGACCCCAAGGCUCAUCUAGUCCACCCCCUGCAAUGCAGGAAUCUCAGCCACAGAAUCCCUCACGGAUGGCCACCUGAUUCCUGCUUAAAAACCUCCUUCCACUGCUGAACAGAUCUUACCAUCAGAAAUUUAUUCCUAACCCCUUUCUUGUUAUUUGAAUCCAACAGUUUGGUUCCUCCUCUCUGGAGCAGCAGAAAGCAAGCUGGCUCCAAAUCCCAUGAUGCAGCCCUUCAGAUAUUUGAAGACGGCUCUCAUGUCCCCUCUCCAUCCUCUUGGUCGUUCUCCUCUAUGCACCUUCCAGUUCGUCUUAUGCAGAGUCUGACCACUGGUUCAUCCAGCUUAGCAUUGUCUGCACUGACUGGCAGCAGCAGGGGAUCUCCAGGGUUUCAGACAAGCUGAGGAUCCGACAAAUCCGUGGAGGAGGAGAGGGCUACCAAUGGCAACUUGCCAGGAUGCCUGCGCUUUGUCCCCACAGCUGGAGGCAUCCAUGCUUCCAAACGCCAGUUUGUUGGAAACCGCAGGGAGAGAGAGUUGCUCUUGCACUCAGGUCCUGCUUGUGGCUUGGUCCUGAUCUCCUGGCCCAAAGGAGGGCUCCUGGGAGCGGCUGGGUGCAAGGAUACCAAAGAAGGGUGUCCAAAACUCCAGAGGGAUCAGUUCUAGUGCCUUAAUAAAAUAAAGGCAUGGUCUUGCAUCAAAUCAGCCGGCCAGGUCUCCUGGCCUUUAGAGACACGGGACGGACAACACAGCAAAGAGGCGGCAUGUCUGCACCCAAGCAAACUUGCCUACGUCUCUAUACACCAAGCAGUAUCUGUCACUUUGGCCAGGACUUCCCAUCGCCUUCACCUGCCCAGAUGAGGGCAAAGGGCAAACAGCCAAAUCUUACAGAUUGCUCCCCUUUCUGGGCCCAGAGCACCCCAAGCCCCCAUUGGAGCCAGCCCAUUAGCUUACGGUAUAUCAGAGCAAAUGAAUCUAAACAUAUAUGAGUGCAUUGCUACAAAAACUCCCUAUUAAUUGUGGGGUUAUCUUGACUGCCAGGAUGGCAUUUGCAGAGUUUCCGCAACAGUUUGCCUUUGGUUCAACGAGGGUCUCCCACAGGAAACAGGAUGCUGCAGCAGACAGACCACUGAUCCAGCUGCAGCCCCUUCUGGUGUCCUUGUGGAACCUCCAGGUCCAGAGGCAGUCCACCUGGAUUCCCGUGUUCUCAGGGGCAUUUGGCCACCGGGAGAGCAGGAUGCGGGACUAGAGCUCUACAGUUGUAUGCUUCUGUGAGCUUGCCAGCAGAUGGCUCUGUUCCUGAGUUCCUGGGUGGCUUCCUUCCUCUGCUUUCCUGCCCCAGCCCUGGCCCUGCCCCAGGGCACCACCGCGGUGAUGCCGCAGCCUCGAUGCCAGCCUCCUCUCUCUCUGCCAGCCACUGCCAAGACGAGACUCCUUCCAAGAGCCUCUUCUCCCGCUUGAGUCUCCCUUUUCCAGCCUGACAGGCCCAGCCGGCACAGCAGAGGGCAACUCCCAGCAGAGCUGGAUCUGUCUCGCUCCGUCUCCCUGGGGCCUCCCAGAGUCGGCUGUGCUGGGCCCAGGAGGUGCCAGGCAGGGACCCCACAGUGAGGGCAGGGGCAGCAGGGAGAGGGGCAGGUAUGGCUGGUUUGGCUGGCAUCCGGCAAGCCAGGGGCCUCGUCUGUCACACCCUCCUCUGUCCUCCAGGCUGUCAACAUUUCGCAGGAGGGAUUUCAGGGCAAUUGUCGGUUUGUGCAAUAAAAGUGGAUUACAGCCUCCGUGGUGCAAGAAAUCCACCUUUGAAAACAAACAGGCUUUUGUGGUUAGCGAAGGGACGGGGGAAGUGCACUGAAAGGCGUGGGGUGAAGAAUCACCUUAGCGGGAAGGGGGGUCAGCAUCCUGCAAGCAACUCAGAAGAAACGCUUGGUGAAGAUCAGAUCCAGUCUGACCUCCCUGUAAGCUUUGUACAACAAAUGCAAUGCAGGGGGUUGGACUAGAUGACCCUUGGUGUCCCACCCACCUUUACAAUUCAGUGAUUCUGCAGAAGAGGAAUAAACAGGCUGCCCGGAGGAGCCCAGAGUCUUCCUCUGCAGCCCUGGGGACCUCAGACCCUCCAACUGUUCCUAUUUUCCAAAGACAGUCCUGGAUUUACAGAAGCCAUCCCGGUUUCUGAUUUGAUCCUGGAGUGUCCCACUUUUCCUUAGGAUGUCCCUGUUUUCAUUGGAGAAAUGUUGGAGGGUGUGGAGUUAUGCGACCCCAGAGCCAAGGAAAUAAGUAACUAUACAAGCUUUAGAAGGCAUCUGAAGGCAGCCCUGUAUAGGGAUGUUUUUUAAUGUUUAAUGGCUGACAUAUAUGUUGUUGUUAUUGUUGAACAGGACGUCCCUAUUUUCAUCAGAGAAAUGUUGGAGGGUAUGGGGAAUGCCCACAGAGGGGUUAAAAUGUGUGGAGGAGAGGAUUGCCAGGGUGGUGCAAUCUCAUGAGGAAGAUUCCUGCAUUGUAAAGUAAAGGUAAAGGGACCCCUGACCAUUAGGUCCAGUCGUGGCCGACUCUGGGGUUGCAGGGCUCAUCUCGCUUUACUGGCCAAGGGAGCCGGCGUACAGCUUCCGGGUCAUGUGGCCAGCAGGACUAAGCUGCUUCUGGCGAAGCAGAGCAGCGCAUGGAAAUGCCGUUUACCUUCCCGCCAGAGCAGUACCUAUUUAUCUACUUGCGCUUUGAUGGGCUUUCGAACUGCUAGGUUGGCAGGAGCAGGGACUGAGCAACGGGAGCUCACCCCGUCAUGGAGAUUCAAACCGCCGACCUUCUGAUCACCAAGUCCUAGGCUCUGUGGUUUAACCCACAGCGCCACCCACUUCCCAUACUCCUGCAUUGUAGAAGGUUUAAUUAAUUAAUUUGAUUCUGCAGCCUCUUCUUAGCUAUUACCGUAAGUUCUUUAGAGAGCCAGAGGAUGGGUCCAGCCAGCUCAGUAUCAACUGCACGGACUGGCAGUGUCUCCCUGGGGAUUUUCCCCAGCUCUGCUUGGAGAUGUCCAGGGUUAAAAUGGGGGCAUUUUGCAUGCCAAGUUGAGCUCUGGCCCUCUCCCUUGAAGUAAAGUAAGAAGAGUCCAGUCCUCGUGGUUUUGAUUUUUUACCUGCUUUAAGGAGGAAUGCGGGAAGCUUCCUGAAUCAGAGUCAGACCACGGAUCCAUCUACCUUCCCUGCUGUUCCCCACCACCACUGGCAGCAGUGGGGCCACAGGGACCCAGGGCAUUAAUCCCAGGUCUCUCUGCAGAAGCUGAAAGCCAUAUAUCCUUUUUAAUAUGCUGCUUCUCUGUCAACUUAAUGUAGCAACAUCGUCAUGGACAGCGCAGGCUCUGUUGCCCUUGUUUAGCUGUUUGAUUGCUUUCCUAACUGUGCACAACUCUUCCAAAUUCAGAUUUAAUAGCAAUUUGAAAGGAGGCAGUGAGGAAGUUGCUGGAUUAAUCACAGGUCUGCUUCAGGGUGACCGUGAAGCAAAACGACAAAUGGGAGAGA